rnacentral:lncRNA from 1 species
UAUUGAAAUAUCAUGCUUUUUUUCUCCUAGAAAACAACAGCAGCAACAGUAAUUGCAUGAAAUAGUACAAUUCUUUUCACCAAUUCAUUAAUAGUUAUUCCUAGAUAAGUGAUAAAUCAUUUGGGUCUAUUAAUCACUGUAGUGUAUGUAUAUUGCUUGUCUCACUACAGGAGAUUAUCUCAUGCAGACUGAUAAGAUCUGGCAUGGGUUAUAUUUAGAAACUCAUAACAAGAGAUCAACCAAUGAAAAUAAAGUCAGUGAACUACUUCUGGGGGCUGUACAUGUACCACAAAAAGUAAUCCAUAGCUUUUUCUGUUUUAUAUCAGAGUAAUCUUCAAAAUUUAUGAGUAUGUGAUUGAAUGGAAUAAAAUCUUCCUCUAGUACAAAAAUAUUUUAACAUCAUAGAUGUAUCAUUACCUUCAUUAGCUGACUGUUAAUGGCACAUUUGCCCAAGAAUAUCAAAAUUUCAAAUCUACACAGGAAGUUCUUUGACAGACAGCAGAAUAGAGUAAAUAUUUGGGAGAGUGUUUCCCUAAAUAUUUUACUAUGUGCAGCUUAUUUCAUCUUGGAAUUUAACAAUAAUUAACAGAAUGCACCAGGUAUAGCAUCAUAUGUGUAUAUAAAGUAUCAGCACACGUGAAUGAAUUGAGACAUGUUUAGUGACCCAAUGUAUUGUGUUCAAAGGCUCCAUCCAACAGUUCAAAGACAUGUCAUAGCAGUGAAGCAAAUGGUGGCAAAUGAUGGCUUUGUGGUGGUUAGUGAAAAACUGUGGCAAUCUACAUUGGUGGUGGCAAACACUGACAGAAAAUUUCUGGACCAGCAGUGACAUUAAGUUGAAAACAAUGACAUAUUUUACACUGUACUGAAGAUGUAAUUGCGAAAAUUAUUUAAUAAAAACGUUAUGGCUAUCAGUGGAAAACAUCGAUAUACUACAAUAAGAGUGGAACUGACAUUUUAACACUAUUGUUUGUACUAUUAUACAUCACCUAGUUCAAAAGUCAUAAGCAUUUUUGUUAUAUUAUAGACUUUUGGCAUUGAAAAACAUAGUUAUUUAAAGACCUAAAUAAUAUCGUUAUUGUUCUAACUUAGUUAAAAUGCUGACUGAUUUGAGAACAAUCAAAAUAAAAGGUUGAUUUACA